UCUGGUUCUGUAAGAUCA
rnacentral:misc_RNA from 1 species